UACGGGGGGAGCAAGCGUUGUUCGGAUUUACUGGGCGUAAAGGGCGCGUAGGCGGUCAGCACAAGUCAGUUGUGAAAUCUCCGGGCUUAACUCGGAAAGGUCAACUGAUACUGUGCGACUAGAGUGCAGAAGGGGCAACUGGAGUUCUCGGUGUAGCGGUGAAAUGCGUAGAUAUCGAGAGGAACACCUGCGGCGAAGGCGGGUUGCUGGGCUGACACUGACGCUGAUGCGCGAAAGCCAGGGGAGCGAACGGG
rnacentral:rRNA from 1 species